AUGGACUCGCGGCCUAUCAGCUAGAUGGUGAGGUAAUGGCUCACCAUGGCGACGACGGGUAGCCGGCCUGAGAGGGUGACCGGCCACACUGGGACUGAGACACGGCCCAGACUCCUACGGGAGGCAGCAGUGGGGAAUAUUGCACAAUGGGCGCAAGCCUGAUGCAGCAACGCCGCGUGAGGGAUGACGGCCUUCGGGUUGUAAACCUCUUUUAGUAGGGAAGAAGCGAAAGUGACGGUACCUGCAGAAAAAGCACCGGCUAACUACGUGCCAGCAGCCGCGGUAAUACGUAGGGUGCAAGCGUUGUCCGGAAUUAUUGGGCGUAAAGAGCUCGUAGGCGGCUUGUCGCGUCUGCUGUGAAAACCAGAGGCUCAACCUCUGGCCUGCAGUGGGUACGGGCAAGCUAGAGUGCGGUAGGGGAGAUUGGAAUUCCUGGUGUAGCGGUGGAAUGCGCAGAUAUCAGGAGGAACACCGAUGGCGAAGGCAGAUCUCUGGGCCGUAACUGACGCUGAGGAGCGAAAGCAUGGGGAGCGAACAGGAUUAGAUACCCUGGUAGUCCAUGCCGUAAACGUUGGGAACUAGAUGUAGGGCCUGUUCCACGGGUUCUGUGUCGUAGCUAACGCAUUAAGUUCCCCGCCUGGGGAGUACGGCCGCAAGGCUAAAACUCAAAGGAAUUGACGGGGGCCCGCACAAGCGGCGGAGCAUGCGGAUUAAUUCGAUGCAACGCGAAGAACCUUACCAAGGCUUGACAUAUACGAGAACACUGUAGAGAUACAGGACUCUUUGGACACUCGUAAACAGGUGGUGCAUGGUUGUCGUCAGCUCGUGUCGUGAGAUGUUCGGUUAAGUCCGGCAACGAGCGCAACCCUCGUCCUAUGUUGCCAGCACGUUAUGGUGGGAACUCAUGGGAUACUGCCGUGGUCAACACGGAGGAAGGUGGGGAUGACGUCAAAUCAUCAUGCCCCUUAUGUCUUGGGCUUCACGCAUGCUACAAUGGCCGAUACAAAGGGCUGCGAUACCGCGAGGUGGAGCGAAUCCCAAAAAGUCGGUCUCAGUUCGGAUUGGGGUCUGCAACUCGACCCCAUGAAGUCGGAGUCGCUAGUAAUCGCAGAUCAGCAACGCUGCGGUGAAUACGUUCCCGGGCCUUGUACACACCGCCCGUCAAGUCAUGAAAGUCGGUAACACCCGAAGCCGGUGGCCUAACC
rnacentral:rRNA from 1 species